rnacentral:rRNA from 1 species
UGGGGAAUAUUGCACAAUGGGCGCAAGCCUGAUGCAGCCAUGCCGCGUGUAUGAAGAAGGCCUUCGGGUUGUAAAGUACUUUCAGCGGGGAGGAAGGUGUUGAGGCUAAUAACCUCAGCAAUUGACGUUACCCGCAGAAGAAGCACCGGCUAACUCCGUGCCAGCAGCCGCGGUAAUACGGAGGGUGCAAGCGUUAAUCGGAAUUACUGGGCGUAAAGCGCACGCAGGCGGUCUGUCAAGUCGGAUGUGAAAUCCCCGGGCUCAACCUGGGAACUGCAUUCGAAACUGGCAGGCUAGAGUCUUGUAGAGGGGGGUAGAAUUCCAGGUGUAGCGGUGAAAUGCGUAGAGAUCUGGAGGAAUACCGGUGGCGAAGGCGGCCCCCUGGACAAAGACUGACGCUCAGGUGUGAAAGCGUGGGGAGCAAACA